rnacentral:rRNA from 1 species
UACGUAGGGGGCAAGCGUUGUCCGGAAUCAUUGGGCGUAAAGAGCGUGUAGGCGGCCAGAUAAGUCCGCUGUGAAAUCUCGAGGCUCAACUUCGAGCUGUCGGUGGAAACUGUCUGGCUAGAGUCCGGAAGAGGAGAAUGGAAUUCCUGGUGUAGCGGUGAAAUUCGUAGAUAUUCGGAAGAACACCAGUGGCGAAGGCGGCUCACUGGUCCGGUACUGACGCUGAGGUGCGAAAGCGUGGGGAGCAAACAGG